UCCAAGAGGUUAUAGAUGUCACCUAGACCUUUCAGACCUUAAGAAAAAUGUCAGUAUCUCAGUCCUUUCUAAAUGCUUCACAGCACUAUUAGCAAAUACUCUGGGGUCUCCACCAGUAGCAACAUUGGUUAAUAAUUGACUGAGUUUCUCUCAGCUGCUAGUGAAACAUAAGUUUUUAGCCCAGUGAUUCUCAGCAUUUUUAGACCAGAGGCACCUGUCAGAAAGUGUCAGGUCUUAGUUUUCACUUGUUUUUUGACUACAGAAAAAUAACAGAGCAAUUCUCCUGUUGGAAAGAACUCAGAAAGACAGUGACAGGUCAGAAUGUUUUUUUAACACUAUGGAUCCCUAUUUAAUAUCUUUGGUUUUAUCCUGUGAAUCAUGUUUGCAUAACCAACAGUGCUAACUUCAUGGGACAUCCUGGGGCAUCCUUAAAAGGACUGCAAGGCACCCAGGGUGCGUUGACACUCUAGCUGAGAAUCAGUGCAUUAGCUUAUACUCAGAGUAGCACAUGUUUUGGUAUCAAAGUUCACAGCAAGCAUUUGCUGUUACUCUAUAAGGCUGCAGGAACCUCAGAACAUUAUCUUCUCCCUAUAAGCUCAGGUUGUUUCCCAUUGGGGUGACAGUUGCUUCCCUCUCAGGUCUGUAUCGACAUCUAUAAACACAGUGGAUUGAAUGUUAUUCAAAUGAAGGGGUUCUGUAGCAAGCAAGGUUGGAUUUGUGCUUGCCUGUACUGAAAGUGGUACAGGUAUUCAGAUCCAUCUGCCAUGCAUGGAACAUGGAUCACAUUGAAGACACCUGUCUUCAUUAGGACUAGUAGAAAAUGAGUUUUUGGAGAUGCAAGAAGACAAAAACAAGCCAGCAAAAAGAAAAUCUUCCAAAAUUAAAGCCAAAGCAAUUUUUGGAAUCUCCAUAUCUCCUCAAUACCUUGCAGGAACCACAUCCUGAAGCUUCAGAAAAAUGGAACGGAGCUCCUGGGAUUUCUAACUUUGGCAUGAGGACUGAGCUGAUAAUUACAUCACUUUGUCGCCACAUCCUUAAUAAACCCAGCUUUGCACCAGUCUAACUCUAUACAAUGGUGAAUCAGGUCCAUAAUCUAAGGAGCUGUAUUGUUUUAACAGCAAACCUAAGCUUAGCAUACAAAUAGCUGGCUCAUGUAAAUUAAUAUAUACCAUUAAAGAAGUUGGAUUGUAACAUACAGCCACAACUCUCUGUCUCCCUGG